rnacentral:tRNA from 1 species
GGGCCGUUAACUCAGUUGGCAGAGUAUCUGCCUUUUAAGCAGAGAGUCGCUGGUUCGAAUCCAGCACGGCCCACCA